rnacentral:lncRNA from 1 species
ACCGCCCCGUUAUAAAGGGGACGCUCAUAGCAUCCAUCCAUCCAGCCAUGUAAUCGCCUCUGCACCUGCUUGCACCGCUUCGCGCGAAGGUCUAACCGCACUAAUCCUCCGUAUUUUGUGACAGUCGUAUCCUGCCGUCGUGCGGUCAGCGUGGGAUGCCAUUUUGUUUUUCUGGACGGC